CCUACGUGAGGCAGCAGUGGGGCAUAUUGCACAAUGGGCGAAAGCCUGAUGCAGCCACGCCGCGUGAGCGAUGAAGGCCUUCGGGUCGUAAAGCUCUGUCCUCAAGGAAGAUAAUGACGGUACUUGAGGACGAAGCCCCGGCUAACUACGUGCCAGCAGCCGCGGUAAUACGUAGGGGGCUAGCGUUAUCCGGAAUUACUGGGCGUAAAGGGGGCGUAGGUGGUUUCUUAAGUCAGAGGUGAAAGGCUACGGCUAAACCUGAGUAAGCCUGUGAAACUGGGAAACUUGAGUGCAGGAGAGGAGAGUGGAAUUCCUAGUGUAGCGGUGAAAUGCGUAGAUAUUAGGAGGAACACCAGUUGCGAAGGCGGCUCUCUGGACUGUAACUGACACUGAGGCACGAAAGCGUGGGGAGCAAACAGGAUUAGAUACCCCGGUAGUC
rnacentral:rRNA from 1 species